GAUGAACGCUGGCGGCGUGCUUAACACAUGCAAGUCGAACGAAGCAUUUAGGACAGAUUACUUCGGUUUGAAGUUCUUUAUGACUGAGUGGCGGACGGGUGAGUAACGCGUGGGUAAUCUGCCUUGUACUGGGGGAUAGCAGCUGGAAACGGCUGGUAAUACCGCAUAAGCGCACAAUGUUGCAUGACAUGGUGUGAAAAACUCCGGUGGUAUAAGAUGGACCCGCGUCUGAUUAGCUAGUUGGUGAGAUAACAGCCCACCAAGGCGACGAUCAGUAGCCGACCUGAGAGGGUGACCGGCCACAUUGGGACUGAGACACGGCCCAGACUCCUACGGGAGGCAGCAGUGGGGAAUAUUGCACAAUGGAGGAAACUCUGAUGCAGCGACGCCGCGUGAGUGAAGAAGUAAUUCGUUAUGUAAAGCUCUAUCAGCAGGGAAGAUAGUGACGGUACCUGACUAAGAAGCUCCGGCUAAAUACGU
rnacentral:rRNA from 1 species